rnacentral:rRNA from 1 species
UACAGAGGGUGCAAGCGUUGUUCGGAAUUAUUGGGCGUAAAGCGCGUGUAGGCGGCUUUGCAAGUCGGGUGUGAAAGCCCUCGGCUCAACUGAGGAAGUGCACCCGAAACUGGCGAGCUUGAGUACGAAAGAGGAUCGCGGAAUUCCCGGUGUAGAGGUGAAAUUCGUAGAUAUCGGAGGAACACCGGUGGCGAAGGCGGCGAUCUGGGUCGAUACUGACGCUGAGGUGCGAAAGCGAUGGGGAGCAAACAGG